rnacentral:rRNA from 1 species
UGGCGAACGGGUGAGUAACACGUGAGGAACCUGCCCCGAAGACCGGGAUAACGCCGGGAAACUGGUGUUAAUACCGGAUGCCCUCGCCGGAUCGCAUGGUCUGGCGAAGAAAUGGAUUCCGCUUCGGGAUGGCCUCGCGGCCUAUCAGCUUGUUGGUGGGGUAACGGCCCACCAAGGCGACGACGGGUAGCUGGUCUGAGAGGAUGUCCAGCCACACUGGGACUGAGACACGGCCCAGACUCCUACGGGAGGCAGCAGCUAGGAAUCUUGCGCAAUGGACGAAAGUCUGACGCAGCGACGCCGCGUGCGGGAUGAAGGCCUUAGGGUCGUAAACCGCUUUCAGCAGGGACGAAAUUGACGGUACCUGCAGAAGAAGCCCCGGCCAACUACGUGCCAGCAGCCGCGGUAAUACGUAGGGGGCGAGCGUUGUCCGGAUUUAUUGGGCGUAAAGAGCUCGUAGGCGGUUUGGUAAGUUGGAUGUGAAAUCUCCAGGCUCAACUUGGAGGGGUCAUUCGAUAC